ensembl:snRNA U7 U7 small nuclear RNA
UAGUGUUAUAGCUCUUUUAGAAUUUGUCUAGCAGCUUUUCCAGUAUUCACCAGAAAGUCCCU